rnacentral:rRNA from 1 species
CCAGACUCCUACGGAGGCAGCAGUGGGGAAUCUUCCGCAAUGGACGAAAGUCUGACGGAGCAACGCCGCGUGAGUGAUGACGGCCUUCGGGUUGUAAAGCUCUGUUAAUCGGGACGAAAGGCCUUCUUGCGAAUAGUGAGAAGGAUUGACGGUACCGGAAUAGAAAGCCACGGCUAACUACGUGCCAGCAGCCGCGGUAAUACGUAGGUGGCAAGCGUUGUCCGGAAUUAUUGGGCGUAAAGCGCGCGCAGGCGGAUAGGUCAGUCUGUCUUAAAAGUUCGGGGCUUAACCCCGUGAUGGGAUGGAAACUGCCAAUCUAGAGUAUCGGAGAGGAAAGUGGAAUUCCUAGUGUAGCGGUGAAAUGCGUAGAUAUUAGGAAGAACACCAGUGGCGAAGGCGACUUUCUGGACGAAAACUGACGCUGAGGCGCGAAAGCCAGGGGAGCGAACGGGAUUAGAUACCCCGGUAGUCCUGGCCGUAAACGAUGGGUACUAGGUGUAGGAGGUAUCGACCCCUUCUGUGCCGGAGUUAACGCAAUAAGUACCCCGCCUGGGGAGUACGACCGCAAGGUUGAAACUCAAAGGAAUUGACGGGGGCCCGCACAAGA